GCCGGGCUCCAAAGGCUUGUGGAUAGCUGCCUGAAGCCCGGGGUGCGCAGUGGGAGUUGGCACUGCGCUCCCCGAGCUUCAAGCUUCAGGCUGCUAUCCGCAAGCCUUCGGAGCCCGGC